GACGAACGCUGGCGGCGUGCCUAAUACAUGCAAGUCGAACGAACCGCGACUAGGUGCUUGCACUUGGUCAAGGUGAGUGGCGAACGGGUGAGUAACACGUGGGUAACCUACCUCAUAGUGGGGGAUAACAGUCGGAAACGACUGCUAAUACCGCAUAGGACAUGGGAUCACAUGAUUCUGUGAGGAAAGGUGGCGCAAGCUAUCGCUAAGAGAUGGACCCGCGGUGCAUUAGCUAGUUGGUAGGGUAACGGCCUACCAAGGCGAUGAUGCAUAGCCGACCUGAGAGGGUGAUCGGCCACAUUGGGACUGAGACACGGCCCAAACUCCUACGGGAGGCAGCAGUAGGGAAUCUUCCGCAAUGGACGCAAGUCUGACGGAGCAACGCCGCGUGAGUGAAGAAGGUCUUCGGAUCGUAAAGCCCUGUUGUUAGAGAAGAACAGCGCAUAGAGUAACUGUUAUGCGUGUGACGGUAUCUAACCAGAAAGCCACGGCUAACUACGUG
rnacentral:rRNA from 1 species